AUGGAGGGCCAGGCCCAUGUAGGGGAACAGGGACAGGAAGCGAUGGCCCUCUAUGAUGGCGAGUCGGUGUCACCUUGUCUGGAGACUCAGGCGUUGAGUCGGCCAUCUUGUCUGGCGACACAGGUGCAGAUUCGGCCAUCUUGUGCUGUGGCGCUGGCCCUGCGGCCAUCAUGGGCAGUGGCGCCACCAUGGCGGACCUGCGCUUCUUUUCCCCUCUCCGUCCGCCAUGGUGAGACAGUGGCUCCGAUCCGUCACACACGAGCCCAGGGUCGAAGGGGGGCCAUGGUUGAGAGCGAUAUUGAACCUCCUCUCGACCACUCCCUCCUCGGCGACCUCCCCUGGUUCCCCGGAAGACCACCAGGCGAGUUCCCUCAAAACGGCUCCUCUCCCGCUCUGUGGCUCGGGAGGAGACGUGAGCAGACAUACCGCUGGAUCUCAAGUUGACAGAGUCCUUCUGUCACGUCCGGGAUACAAGGAGACACAGUGAGAGAUCCAAAUGCGAGUACGUCUUUAUUUAGGGGCAAUCCAAAGAAUAAACAGUCCAGGCAGGGGUCAGUACCAAACAUAUCCAACAUAAACAAACAAGGACACAAGACUAGAGCACGACAAGAGACGGACGAGAAUAAACAAGGCCUCCGUGACACAUACUAAGACAGACCGGUAUAAAUACACAGGGACAUGACAAACGCUAAUGGGGAAUUGACUGUGAGCAAUGAUUACUAAUCAGUGACAGCUGAGUGCAAUGAGGAGACAGGGAUCGUGGGUAAUGUGGUUCAUUAAGUGACAGACACCGUGGGGAAGGAGGACAUCUAGUGGUUACCCAGGGAACACAACCCAGACACUGUGACAUCUAUGACAGCCAUGAUAUGGCAAGACUCUGGCAUGGCGGCCAUCUUGGCCGGGGACUCUGGUGUGGCGGCCAUCUUGGCCGGGGACUCUGGUGUGGUGGCCAUCUUGGCCGGAGACUCUGGCUUGACAGGCAUGACGUAAGCAGACUCUGGAAUGGCAGCCAUGUCAUGACAAGACUCUGGAAUGGUGGCCAUGUCGUGACAAGACUCUGGAGGAUCAGCUGCGACGUGUCGAGACUCUAGAAGGGCGGCCAUUUUGUGAAGACACUCUUGUGUGGUGGUCAUCUUGCGACGAAUCUCUUCAAUGGCAGCCAUGUUGUGGAGAAUCUCUUGAGAGACUGGCAUGAUGUGAGUAGUCUCUGGCGUAGCAGGCGUGACGUGAACAGGUGCUGACUUGGUAGGCAUGACGUGAGCAAACCCUGGGAUAGCAGACAUGAUGUUAGCGAACUCUGGCUAGGCAGACAUGAUGUGAUCAGGCUUUGACUUGGUAGACAUGAUAGGAGUAAACUGUGACUUAACUAGCAUAUUGUGAGCAGGUCCUGGAGUAGCAGGCAUGAUGUUAGCAGGCUUUGGCGUAGCAGACAUGGCAUGAAUAGGCUGUGGCUUGGCAGGCAUGACGUGAGCAGACCUCGUAAUAGCAGGCGUGACAUGAACAACUCCAGACAUGACGGUCGGGAUGUGAAGAGGCUCUGGUGUGCUGGGCACUGUAGGAUUGUGGGGCUCCUUAUCCACAAAACCCAUGAGCUGCACAACAGCAGAGCAUGAUCAAUGUAUUGUUCCAGAGACCAGUUUAUUUUUCCUCCAGGUAGCCGGGAACAAAUGGGUUCAUUUAAUCCUUGACAAAAAAUGUCUUUUAACGCCACAUCAUUAAAAUCCACUAAGUGGCACAAAGAACAGAAAUCCUCCACAUAAUCCUCAAUGGGACGAGUCCCCUGGCAUAGUUCAAGGAGGGCAACUGCUGGGUUCAUGGUUGGACGUGUAUUCUGUAAUGAUUAGUCCACUGAAGGCGAGCGUAGUGAGAACCUAAGUGCAGUUUAUUUACAGGUGCAAUCUAAAACAUCCAAACAUAAUCCAAACAAGAAACGAAGACUUGACUUGAACAGACUUGACUUGACGAGGCAUGAAUCAGACUUGACAGAAACAGACUUGCCGUGGCAUGAACAGACUAGACUCACCGACAGCAGGUUACAACAUUAAUACACAAGGGCUAAUGACAAAAACAUGACUACUUAAAACAGACAAUGAUGGACACAUGAAAUGAACAAACCAAUGGGGAACAAGGCACAUGACUAAAACAACCAAUGAGUAAACAGAACUGAUAAUCACAUGACAAGACAAUAAACCAAUCAGAACAUGAAACAAAGAGCAAGAGGAACCAAUAGCAAGAUGACAAGAGGGCAGACAAACAUAAAUCAAACUACACAAUAAAAGACAUGAAAACAAGAACAUGAAACAAAACCCCAAAACAGACAUUAUAUAUAUAUAUAUAUAUAUAUAUAUAUAGUCAUUCAUAUUAUUAUUAUUAUCAUUAUAUAACGCAGAUCCACCCUUGUGGUCUUGCAUACUUUGCAUUUCAAGAUAAAUUUC
ensembl:lncRNA